rnacentral:rRNA from 1 species
AGUGAACGCUGGCGGUAGGCCUAACACAUGCCAGUCGAACGGCAGCACAGUAAGAGCUUGCUCUUACGGGUGGCGAGUGGCGGACGGGUGAGGAAUACAUCGGAAUCUACUUUUUCGUGGGGGAUAACGUAGGGAAACUUACGCUAAUACCGCAUACGACCUACGGGUGAAAGCAGGGGAUCUUCGGACCUUGCGCGAUUGAAUGAGCCGAUGUCGGAUUAGCUAGUUGGCGGGGUAAAGGCCCACCAAGGCGACGAUCCGUAGCUGGUCUGAGAGGAUGAUCAGCCACACUGGAACUGAGACACGGUCCAGACUCCUACGGGAGGCAGCAGUGGGGAAUAUUGGACAAUGGGCGCAAGCCUGAUCCAGCCAUACCGCGUGGGUGAAGAAGGCCUUCGGGUUGUAAAGCCCCUUUGUUGGGAAAGAAAAGCAGCAGGUUAAUACCCCGCUGUUCUGACGGGACCCAAAGAAUAAGCACCGGCUAACUUCGU